UACCAUGCCAGUUCGAGCGGUAGAGAGGUGCUUGCACCUCUUGAGAGCGGCGGGCGGGUGAGUAAUGCCUAGGAAUCUGCCUGGUAGUGGGGGAUAACGCUCUUAAACGGACGCUAAUACCGCAUACGUCCUACGGGAGAAAGCAGGGGACCUUCGGGCCUUGCGCUAUCAGAUGAGCCUAGGUCGGAUUAGCUAGUUGGUGAGGUAAUGGCUCACCAAGGCGACGAUCCGUAACUGGUCUGAGAGGAUGAUCAGUCACACUGGAACUGAGACACGGUCCAGACUCCUACGGGAGGCAGCAGUGGGGAAUAUUGGACAAUGGGCGAAAGCCUGAUCCAGCCAUGCCGCGUGUGUGAAGAAGGUCUUCGGAUUGUAAAGCACUUUAAGUUGGGAGGAAGGGCAUUAACCUAAUACGUUAGUGUUUUGACGUUACCGACAGAAUAAGCACCGGCUAACUCUGUGCCAGCAGCCGCGGUAAUACAGAGGGUGCAAGCGUUAAUCGGAAUUACUGGGCGUAAAGCGCGCGUAGGUGGUUCGUUAAGUUGGAUGUGAAAGCCCCGGGCUCAACCUGGGAACUGCAUUCAAAACUGACGAGCUAGAGUAUGGUAGAGGGUGGUGGAAUUUCCUGUGUAGCGGUGAAAUGCGUAGAUAUAGGAAGGAACACCAGUGGCGAAGGCGACCACCUGGACUGAUACUGACACUGAGGUGCGAAAGCGUGGGGAGCAAACAGGAUUAGAUACCCUGGUAGUCACGCCGUAAACGAUCUCACUAGCCGUUGGGAGCCUUAGCUCUUAAUGGCGCAGCUA
rnacentral:rRNA from 1 species